rnacentral:misc_RNA from 1 species
UCAAAGUACUCCGUUGACAAAAUAGAUAAUAACGUUUUAACAAAAUUAAAUAAAUUAACUUGUUAUAGUGAUGCAGAACAAUAUAAGAAUCAUCCUUUAUACAAGAAACAUCCAGAUGCUCUUCAGCUUCAACUAUACUGUGAUGAUUUUGAAACAGUAAAUCCUUUAGGAUCAAAAACUAAAGUUCACAAAGUUUGUGCAGUUUAUUUGUCCAUCAAAAAUGUUAACAUAAAGAAAUGCUCUAAAUUGACUAACAUAUAUCCUGUAAUUUAUUGUUUUUCAGCUGAUGUUGCAAAGUAUGGAUAUGAAAAGCUUUUAAAGUCAUUAAUAAAGGACUUGGUAGCUCUAGAGAAGGGAGUUAAAUUGUAUAUAAAUGGAAAUUACAUUUGCAUAUAUGGUGCAGUAGUUAUGUGGUCUGGGGACAAUCUUGCAUUGUCCAGAUUAAUAUCCAGUGGAGGAUAUUAAUCGUCUCCUGCCUCAUUUGGUAGAGCUAGGUGCUAGUUCAAUGCAAGAUUUGCUGUUUUUAAGCGUUGAAACAGACCUGCCUAAUGUACUACCUCCUCUUAAGAGACGUAAAUUAGAAGCAGCUUUAGCAACUUCAAAUUCUAAGCCUGUUUAUUCGCAAUAUGUGGACCUUAUUGAAACAUCUGUGGUAACUCCCAUUGCAUGUACCAAGUCAUGUGGGCCAAAAAAGAUGGUUGUGUCAAUAACCGAUGCAAUAGAAAAUCAUCCUUUAAAAAAUAGCAUCAUUAUUGAGGCACAAAAAGCUGUAAUGGAUGAUCGCUUGCAUCGUCUUCUUGUCAAAGUAGCAUGCUCUUACUUAAUUGGUUGCUUCAGAAAUUUCUACAUCUAUCCUCCACCAGAGCAUCAAUUAGCCAUGGCAAAAAGUAUUGUUUCAACUUUUAAGUUUAGGGCAUGUCGAAGCGGAAAUGGAAAUGUGAUGGGUUUAUUGCUGUUGGAGAUGACCCAGCAGAAAUAAGCAACGAAGAAUAUGAUUUAAUAAAGACAAAAUUGUUGCAUCUUAUUUAUACAGACCGAAACGAAAAUGAGAUUGUAGAACUGAUGAACAAAUCAUGUUUAUGCAGGCAAUUGUGAAUCCGAAAUGAUUUACCGACAGCUAAUAGUAUACUUGAGGAAUUUCCAAGAUUUAUGGACACUCCAUUGUUGUUAAAUGAUGAAUUCCAAUCCAUUAAUCGAAGUUAUGUAGAAAAUAUUUCAGUUUUAUUGGAAACAAAAAUUUUAAAACAAAUAAUUGCAUACUGCAGGCUGACUGGCAAAUGCAUUGACAUUAUAGGUGACAUAGAUACUGAAGGGAACAGCAAUACAGGUAAAUCUCCAGCAAUACAGGUAAAUCUCCAAAAAAAGGGAACAGCAAUACAGGUAAAUCUCAAAAAAAUCUUA